rnacentral:rRNA from 1 species
AUACGGAGGGUGCAAGCGUUAUCCGGAAUCAUUGGGUUUAAAGGGUCCGCAGGCGGAUUAAUAAGUCAGUGGUGAAAUCCUCUCGCUUAACGAGAGAACUGCCAUUGAAACUGUUAGUCUUGAAUUCGGUCGAAGUAGGCGGAAUGUGUCAAGUAGCGGUGAAAUGCAUAGAUAUGACACAGAACACCGAUAGCGAAGGCAGCUUACUAGACCUGGAUUGACGCUCAUGGACGAAAGCGUGGGGAGCGAACAGGAUUAGAAACCCUAGUAGUCC